rnacentral:rRNA from 2 species
ACACGACUCUCGGCAACGGAUAUCUCGGCUCUCGCAUCGAUGAAGAACGUAGCGAAAUGCGAUACCUGGUGUGAAUUGCAGAAUCCCGCGAACCAUCGAGUCUUUGAACGCAAGUUGCGCCCGAGGUCUUUUGGCUGAGGGCACGCCUGCCUGGGCGUCACGC